UACGUAGGGUGCAAGCGUUGUCCGGAAUUAUUGGGCGUAAAGAGCUCGUAGGUGGUUUGUCGCGUUGUUCGUGAAAACUCACAGCUCAACUGUGGGCGUGCGGGCGAUACGGGCAGACUAGAGUACUGCAGGGGGAGACUGGAAUUCCUGGUGUAGCGGUGGAAUGCGCAGAUAUCAGGAGGAACACCGGUGGCGAAGGCGGGUCUCUGGGCAACAACUGACGCUGGAGGAGCGAAAGCGUGGGGAGCGAACAGG
rnacentral:rRNA from 1 species